AGCCGGUCCGAAAUUGAAUGUUCACAGUCAGUUACAGAUUGAACUCCUUGUUCUAUGCUUUCCCCCUUCUCACUACUGCACUUGGCGAGUCUAAA
rnacentral:Y_RNA from 1 species